ACUCCUACGGGAGGCAGCAGUGGGGAAUAUUGCACAAUGGGCGCAAGCCUGAUGCAGCCAUGCCGCGUGUAUGAAGAAGGCCUUCGGGUUGUAAAGUACUUUCAGCAGUGAGGAAGGUGGGUAUGUUAAUAGCAUAUUCAUUUGACGUUAGCUGCAGAAGAAGCACCGGCUAACUCCGUGCCAGCAGCCGCGGUAAUACGGAGGGUGCGAGCGUUAAUCGGAAUUACUGGGCGUAAAGCGCAUGCAGGUGGUUUGUUAAGUCAGAUGUGAAAGCCCGGGGCUCAACCUCGGAAUUGCAUUUGAAACUGGCAAACUAGAGUACUGUAGAGGGGGGUAGAAUUUCAGGUGUAGCGGUGAAAUGCGUAGAGAUCUGAAGGAAUACCGGUGGCGAAGGCGGCCCCCUGGACAGAUACUGACACUCAGAUGCGAAAGCGUGGGGAGCAAACAGGAUUAGAUACCCUGUAGGCUCUGC
rnacentral:rRNA from 1 species